AAAUUGAAGAGUUUGAUCAUGGCUCAGAUUGAACGCUGGCGGCAGGCUUAACACAUGCAAGUCGAGCGGUAACAGGAAAGUGCUUGCACUUUUGCUGACGAGCGGCGGACGGGUGAGUAAUGUCUGGGGAUCUGCCCGAGGGCGGGGGAUAACCACUGGAAACGGUGGCUAAUACCGCAUAAUGUCGCAAGACCAAAGUGGGGGACCUGAAAGGGCCUCACGCCAUCGGAUGAACCCAGAUGGGAUUAGCUGGUAGGUAGGGUAAUGGCCUACCUAGGCGACGAUCCCUAGCUGGUCUGAGAGGAUGACCAGCCACACUGGGACUGAGACACGGCCCAGACUCCUACGGGAGGC
rnacentral:rRNA from 1 species